rnacentral:misc_RNA from 1 species
AAGUCGUAACAAGGUUUCCGUAGGUGAACCUGCGGAAGGAUCAUUAGUGAAACUUCAAAGUCGGCUCGUCAUACUGUGCUGGUGGAGACACAUGUGCACGUCGCGAGUCGCAAAUCCACACACCUGUGCAUCUUAUGACUCUGAGCGCCGCUUUGCAUGGCCUUGACCGGCCUGGCGCUUGAGUACUUUCACACACUCUGGAAUGUAACGGAAUGUCUUGUUGUGCGUAAUGUACAAACGAAACAACUUUCAACAACGGAUCUCUUGGCUCUC